GUCGUCAGCUCGUGUCGUGAGAUGUUCGGUUAAGUCCGCUACGAGCGCAACCGCGUUGUGUGUUACAAGUGUCACACAAUACCGCCGGUAGUUAAGUCGGAGGAAGGUGCGGAUGACGUCAAGUCAGCAUGACCUUUAUAUCCAGGGCUACACACACGCUACAAUGGUCGGCACAAUAGGUUGCCAAGUCGUGAGACGGAGCCAAUCCUCCAAAGCCGGCCUCAGUUCAGAUUGCAGGCUGCAACUCGCCUGCAUGAAGUUGGAGUUGCUAGUAAACGCAGGUCAGCUAUACUGCGUUGAAUACGUUCCCGGGGAUU
rnacentral:rRNA from 1 species